rnacentral:misc_RNA from 1 species
GACCUUGCUACCAUAUAUUGUGUGUUUUCCUAGACAAGUUUAAGCAUUAAAAGUUAAAAAUCAUCCAUUGCCUAUUCUCUUUGCACUGAAGAGAUGCAACUUGCACUUGUCUCAUUCCAAUUUGGAGGGUAUAUUAUUCUAAUGAUCAUUUAAACUUUGCAAUGAUUUUUAUUGUGGUCACGAAACUUCAAUUUGUCAAAAUUUGGUCACUGAACUUUAAUUUAGUAACAUUCAAGGUACUCCAAAAGCAAGAAAGAAAUUAAG